CGCCACGUGCGCGUGCGGGUGAACGCGGGCCCAGCGCGGGGUCCCCACAGCCCAACAGCGCUCGGCCAAGAAGAGAAAAGACGGCCUGGCCGCUCUGCCCCGCGGGGGAGCCGCGAGAACACGAUGCUCCGGGAGAGAAGCCGGCACAAAAUGCUGCCUCGGGUGUAAAACUAUCCAAAAACACAGAAGUGACAUCAAGAUAUGCCACCUUAUUUAUUGCACCUGUCUGCAGAGGCCUGGGGUGACUCAAAUCCGCCGCUGCUGUGUGAUCUGGGACGCUUCGGGAUGUGGGCACCGUGGGGAACCAGCUUGGUGCCCAUCUUGGAGGUGUCAUUCUGAGAACCUGGAAGCAGCUCCUGCCCGAGUCACACUGAAGAGCCACAGCUUUGUUAGGCAUUGCCACAUUUUCCAAGUGUUCCUGCUUUGUACAGCACAGGAUGAGCCUGUCAUGAUUACCAGAAGGCAGAGAUGUGGGCCAUGGAAGCACGGGUGAAUCCGAUGAGGGAUGCAGCUGGAGGGAGUGGGGUGUGGUCUGUCCACCCCUCAUUAGGUGAGCAGCCACAGAAAACGCAUGUUCAUCGCCCAGGCUUCCAUACACCCUCGUGUGGAAUGACAGCUCUAUUGCUCCACUCUGCAUGUUGGUGACGCCCCAGAAUCCCGAUGUGACGGCCUCAUACCUGAAGUGACAGUGUGGGGGCUUUGGGGAGUGGUUCAAUCAUGAGGGCUGCACCGUCGUGAAUGGGAUUUGUGCCCUUAUACAAGAGGCUGGAGUGUGUUCCUCUGCCACCUUUGGCCAUGAGGACACCUUGAGAGCCCACUCACGAGGAACAGUCCAGGCCCUGAAUCCGCUGGUGCCUGCAGAACUGUGAGCAAUACAAUUCUGUUGUUUCUCAAUUACUCAGUCUCCAGAACAGGCUAAGGCCUCUGUCUGUGUUCCCAGGGAAGGCUCCACAGGGCCUUCACUGCUCGGGAUACUCCGAGCAAAAGGUUCUGUGAUCCAGCGUGCAUGACGCGCACCCACUACGCGGCUUCCAGAGAUCACCGUGGUGUUCGUAAACUAAGACCCCUGCGGAUCAGCAGCAAUGAGUCUCU
rnacentral:lncRNA from 1 species